rnacentral:rRNA from 1 species
GACGAACGCUGGCGGCGUGCUUAACACAUGCAAGUCGAACGGGAUCCGGGCUUUCGGGUUUGGUGAGAGUGGCGAACGGGUGAGUAACACGUGAGUAACCUGCCCCCUUCUUUGGGAUAACGUCGGGAAAUCGGCGCUAAUACUGGAUAUUCUUGCUGCAUCGCAUGGUGUGGUUUGGAAAGGGUUUCUGGUGGGGGAUGGGCUCGCGGCCUAUCGGCUUGUUGGUGGGGUGAUGGCCUACCAAGGCUUUGACGGGUAGCCGGCCUGAGAGGGUGUCCGGCCACACUGGGACUGAGACACGGCCCAGACUCCUACGGGAGGCAGCAGUGGGGAAUAUUGCACAAUGGGCGCAAGCCUGAUGCAGCGACGCCGCGUGAGGGAUGACGGCCUUCGGGUUGUAAACCCCUUUCAGUAUGGAACAAGGAUCCUUCUUUUGGGGGGUUUGAGGGUACGUGCAGAAGAAGCGCCGGCUAACUACGUG